rnacentral:rRNA from 1 species
UACAGAGGGGGCAAGCGUUAUUCGGAAUUAUUGGGCGUAAAGGGCGCGUAGGCGGCCUGGCAAGUGGAAGGUGAAAUCCCUCGGCUUAACCGAGGAACUGCCCUCCAAACUGCUUGGCUUGAGUCCGGGAGAGGUGAGUGGAAUUUCCGGUGUAGCGGUGAAAUGCGCAGAUAUCAGGAAGAACACCCGUGGCGAAGGCGGCUCUCUGGGACGGUACUGACGCUGAGACGCGAAAGCGUGGGGAGCAAACAGG